AUUGAACGCUGGCGGCAGGCUUAACACAUGCAAGUCGAGCGGAGAUGAGGUGCUUGCACCUUAUCUUAGCGGCGGACGGGUGAGUAAUGCUUAGGAAUCUGCCUAUUAGUGGGGGACAACAUUCCGAAAGGAAUGCUAAUACCGCAUACGUCCUACGGGAGAAAGCAGGGGAUCUUCGGACCUUGCGCUAAUAGAUGAGCCUAAGUCGGAGUAGCUAGUUGGUGGGGUAAAGGCCUACCAAGGCGACGAUCCGUAGCGGGUCUGAGAGGAUGAUCCGCCACACUGGGCCUGAGACACGGCCCGGAGUCCUCCGGGAGGCAGCAGUGGGGAAUAUUGGACAAUGGGGGGAACCCUGAUCCAGCCAUGCCGCGUGUGUGAAGAAGGCCUUAUGGUUGUAAAGCACUUUAAGCGAGGAGGAGGCUACUGAGACUAAUACUCUUGGAUAGUGGACGUUACUCGCAGAAUAAGCACCGGCUAACUCUGUGCCAGCCGCCGCGGUAAAAC
rnacentral:rRNA from 1 species